UACGGAGGGUGCGAGCGUUAAUCGGAAUUACUGGGCGUAAAGCGCGCGUAGGCGGUUUGUUAAGUCAGCUGUGAAAGCCCCGGGCUCAACCUGGGAACUGCAGUUGAUACUGACCGACUAGAGUACGAGAGAGGGAGGUAGAAUUCCAUGUGUAGCGGUGAAAUGCGUAGAUAUAUGGAGGAAUACCGGUGGCGAAGGCGGCCUCCUGGCUCGAUACUGACGCUGAGGUGCGAAAGCGUGGGGAGCGAACAGG
rnacentral:rRNA from 1 species